rnacentral:rRNA from 1 species
UGGGGAAUUUUGGACAAUGGGCGAAAGCCUGAUCCAGCAAUGCCGCGUGUGUGAAGAAGGCCUUCGGGUUGUAAAGCACUUUUGUCCGGAAAGAAAUCCUUGGCUCUAAUACAGUCGGGGGAUGACGGUACCGGAAGAAUAAGCACCGGCUAACUACGUGCCAGCAGCCGCGGUAAUACGUAGGGUGCAAGCGUUAAUCGGAAUUACUGGGCGUAAAGCGUGCGCAGGCGGUUUGCUAAGACCGAUGUGAAAUCCCCGGGCUCAACCUGGGAACUGCAUUGGUGACUGGCAGGCUAGAGUAUGGCAGGAGGGGGGUAGAAUUCCACGUGUAGCAGUGAAAUGCGUAGAGAUGUGGAGGAAUACCGAUGGCGAAGGCAGCCCCCUGGGCCAAUACUGACGCUCAUGCACGAAAGCGUGGGGAGCAAACAGGAUUAGAUACCCUGGUAGUCCACGCCCUAAACGAUGUCAACUAGUUG